rnacentral:hammerhead_ribozyme from 1 species
AUCUAUCUGAAGAGUCCUGAAUAGGACGAAACGCGAGUCCUGGAU